rnacentral:siRNA from 1 species
UCUAAUGCCUUUUUCUCAAUGCCC